rnacentral:tRNA from 1 species
GAGGGUGUAGCUCAGUGGUAGAGCACAUGCUUAGCAUGCACAAGGUCCUGGGUUCAAUCCCUGGUACCUCCU